rnacentral:lncRNA from 1 species
AUUAAAUAUGUGCAUACAUGUAAUAUAUAUAGAUAUAUAUAUACAGUAUAUAUAUGAUUAAUAUUUUAAUAUAAUUGUAUAAUUAAAAUAUUAAAUUUUUGGCUGAUUUAUUUUAAAAACAGAAAUUAUUAAGAAUUAAAAAAAAAAGCCUUUCAGCACGAAAACACGGACGACUGUGUCGAAAAUUUUGACUAAAAAAAAAAAAAAAAAAAAAUGAAGAAAUAUGUAAAAAGAAAAAUAUAACAGUAUUAUCGACAUUAUCCUUCUUGAACUGAAUUAGCCGUCCACUCAGGGGACCUAUUAAAUAUUUGUCGCCAAAUUUCAGACGCUAAGACGUCACACUACAAAAAAAAUAAAGGACGGAUGUAACACUACAUUUUCCUAUUCCUGAGACAAUAAAAAUGGUAUUGUUCUAAUUCUGUGUUUCAUUUUAUUGCCGGGUAAAACAGAACGAAAUUUAUAGAUUUAGACAUUAAAGAAAUAUAUUAUUAUGACUUGUUUCAGUCGAAUCGAAUAUUUUUGCUGUCGAAAUCUUCUAAAUGGCCACUAUCUAAUAUCAUACUGUUGAAUGGAAUAAUAGUUUUGUAUUCCAUUGAUUGCCUACGCAGCCAAUCGACAGUAGGCUAACAGACAACAGACAGACAAGACUUCUAUAGUAAAAGCGAUAUAAUACAAAAGUAUUCGAUUCGUUUAAACACUGAUUACAUUUAUUACAUUUUUUGAUCAUUUUAAAUGCACAUAAUGUAGACGGAUACCGAAGAAUGAUCAACGACGUUUUAAAUGAAAAAUAUUCAACUUAUUUAAUACCUGUACAAUAUUUAGAGAAAAGAUAUUCUGUUAUUUCAGUAUCCUUGAACUUUGCGAAGCGACAAUCUCUUUCUAUUACAUUCCAGUGGACGACAAAGAUUAAGAGAUUAAAAAUAAAUAUAGCGACAGUGACUGAAAACAACAACAUUCUUUUAAAAGUUUAGCAAAAUGGCAUUUUCUUUUCGCAACAUGUUAUUACUAUAUCUGUCAAUAGUUAAAAGAUAAUUUUCCGUCCUGUUAAAUAUAAAUUUCCGUACACAUAAUUGAAAACACAGAGUAGAGGAAAUAACCUAAGCGCGAUAAAUCGAUUUAUCAUGUAACGCUCCACGGAGUAUUUAUCAAAAAUAAAUAGCGUGUCUGUUGCCAG